CACUCCUCUCCACGGUUACUGUUACCAUGACACUGUGAGUAAUCCAUAUCACUCACUAAAAUUUAACACCUUCAGGGAGUGAAAGGCUCCAACUGAGAGAGAGAGAGAUGAAGCCAAAGACAUUAAGGUUUCCAAGCCGCUGAAAAGCUCCUGUCAUGUACAUUAUUCUAGCUUGUUUUCUGAAUAACUGUCUUCUGCUGUCUGUCCCAAUGGCCUCUACUCUAACAAAGCGCUCAUAGAUCAUUUUUACUUGGACAUUUCAAGCAUCGGCCCCGGUGGGAAUCAACACAAAAAGGAGACAAGGGAUAAGGAUGAAUAGAGACAGAGUUUCCAACAUUGGAUGAUCUCUUUUCUUCUCCAAAUGAGUGAGUUUGUCCUGUCUCUGCUCCAGGAGAGCCAUCUGAGCUGGCCAAACUGGUUUUAUCUGUCCAUCCUUCUCUUCUGAAGUGAAGGACAUUAAUCCUUUUUAUUGACCCCUCUUUCUUUGGUGCUCACAAUAUUUAAUUAGUUUCAGUGGACAUUCAACAGACAUUCUGGUUCCUAUUGGUGCGACAGAAAAUCUUCAACUCUUACCCAUUCACCUUUCACUGAGUUACCCAGACUGAAGUGGGUUCAAAAUAAAACCCUAGGGUUCUUGACUUAAUUUUAAAGAACGCUUUAAGCCAAAAAGAUUCUAUACAAGGAGAAAAGUCUUUACUACCUUGCAAUGACUUGCUUCCUAUAUGUGGAUCAGAUACCCUCGAUUUCAUCAAAAAUAUCUUAAUUUGUGUUCUGAAGAUGAACGAAGGUCUUACGGGUUUGGGACGACAUGAGGUAUCUUUUGUUACAGGUCCUGGCUUCCGUAAGGUGAACAACGGGCACCUAGGGGUGAUGAAAUGGCCAUCUUCAGACAAAAUGAAGCCAGAAAUGCUGAUACAUGACCUUGGUGGACCCCUGGACCCAGGACCCCUGGUGUCAUCCAGAAAAUUAAUGGAGACAUGCUUCAAACUAUGUUCAUAUGUGGAGAUUUUCUAAGUUUAUCUAUGUCUUAACCAAUCAGAAUCAUUCAACCUGAUGUAAUGAUGUAGUGACCUGAACCUGAAGAGUGGCCACGAACUCCUUGCUGAGUGUUACUGAUGAAACUGCAAACUAUUCAAGUAAAAUUUUCUUCAGUUGA